rnacentral:rRNA from 1 species
AUACGGAGGGUGCAAGCGUUAUCCGGAAUCAUUGGGUUUAAAGGGUCCGUAGGCGGAUAAUUAAGUCAGGGGUGAAAUCCCACAGCUCAACUGUGGCACUGCCUUUGAUACUGGUUAUCUUGAGUUAUAGGGAAGUAGAUAGAAUAUGUAGUGUAGCGGUGAAAUGCAUAGAUAUUACAUAGAAUACCGAUUGCGAAGGCAGUCUACUAUCUGUAUACUGACGCUAAGGGACGAAAGCGUGGGGAGCGAACAGGAUUAGAUACCCUAGUAGUCC